AUUGAACGCUGGCGGCAUGCUUUACACAUGCAAGUCGAACGGCAGCGGGGGCUUCGGCCCGCCGGCGAGUGGCGAACGGGUGAGUAAUGCAUCGGAACGUGCCCAGUCGUGGGGGAUAACACAUCGAAAGAUGUGCUAAUACCGCAUACGUCCUGAGGGAGAAAGCGGGGGAUCUUCGGACCUCGCGCGAUUGGAGCGGCCGAUGUCGGAUUAGCUAGUUGGUGGGGUAAAGCCCACCAAGGCGACGAUCCGUAGCGGGUCUGAGAGGAUGAUCCGCCACACUGGGACUGAGACACGGCCCAGACUCCUACGGGAGGCAGCAGUGGGGAAUUUUGGACAAUGGGGGCAACCCUGAUCCAGCCAUGCCGCGUGAGUGAAGAAGGC
rnacentral:rRNA from 1 species